rnacentral:rRNA from 1 species
UACGGAGGGGGCUAGCGUUGUUCGGAAUUACUGGGCGUAAAGCGCGUGUAGGCGGAGCGAUAAGUCGGAAGUGAAAUCCCCGGGCUCAACCCGGGAACUGCUUUCGAAACUGCCGUUCUCGAGUACCGGAGAGGGUGGCGGAAUUCCUGGUGUAGAGGUGAAAUUCGUAGAUAUCUGGAGGAACACCGGUGGCGAAGGCGGCAUCCUGGACCGGCAUUGACGCUGAGGCGCGAAAGCCAGGGGAGCAAACGGG